CAGCACUCAGGAGGCAGAGGCAGACGCAGUCGGAUCUCUUGAUCCACUGAGGACCAGCUGUAUUGAAAUCCCCUAGGGAAGUAGUUAAACAUGACACAAGACACAAGAAUGGCAUCUUGUUUUGUUCCCAGAAGUUAUCGAUUCAGACAAGCCGCAUUUGGAGUGGUCAGUUACUAUCUACCAGAGAAACGAGAACAAGCAGGCACAUACAUUACCGUUCCCAGUCACAGGCCAAAUAAAGCACGGUUGCUUUUCUGGAGUAAGAGACUGGACUGCAGGAGGCAUGGGGCUGCCACGUCACUAAGAGGUCAACUAUGGCUCGCUCUUCCUUCAUCCACUGAGAAUGCAAGAGCAAUGAAAUAACAAGAGUGAAAGGAAUUUCUUUCAGAGGUCACAGGAAACAAUCUCCGGAGUCCUCUGGGCUGUGGCUGUGUUGCUGGAGUAGCUCUGUGGGCAUGGAAGCUGUGACCGAAGGGUGGCCCCAAGCACAGUAUCCAUUACAACAGUGGCCACAUUACCAUCUCCUAACAAAGAAAAACAACAGUGAUGAAAAGUCCAGAAUUCCUGAAUAUCUUGCUGGAUGGUGGUGCCGGUAUCUGCGACAAAAGAUAAGAGAAAGCCAUGGAGGAAUGUUAUAGCUGCUUGAGUUGUCUGUGAGAUCCAGGAAUAGACAGUUGGAUUAUAUUGGUCCAAAGCUCAAAUUACACAGUGUUCUGGCUUGAGGACACAGGCCUGUCAGGCAGAAGUACAAAGGGC
rnacentral:lncRNA from 1 species